AUUGAACGCUGGCGGCAGGCCUAACACAUGCAAGUCGAGCGGAUGACGGGAGCUUGCUCCUUGAUUCAGCGGCGGACGGGUGAGUAAUGCCUAGGAAUCUGCCUGGUAGUGGGGGACAACGUUUCGAAAGGAACGCUAAUACCGCAUACGUCCUACGGGAGAAAGCAGGGGACCUUCGGGCCUUGCGCUAUCAGAUGAGCCUAGGUCGGAUUAGCUAGUUGGUGGGGUAAUGGCUCACCAAGGCGACGAUCCGUAACUGGUCUGAGAGGAUGGUCAGUCACACUGGAAAUGAGACAAGGUCCAGACUCCUACGGGAGGCAGCAGUGGGGAAUAUUGGACAAUGGGCGAAAGCCUGAUCCAGCCAUGCCGCGUGUGUGAAGAAGGUCUUCGGAUUGUAAAGCACUUUAAGUUGGGAGGAAGGGCAGUAAGCUAAUACCUUGCUGUUUUGACGUUACCGACAGAAUAAGCACCGGCUAACUCUGUGCCAGCCGCCGCCGUAA
rnacentral:rRNA from 1 species